AGAGUUUGAUCCUGGCUCAGGAUGAACGCUGGCGGCGUGCCUAACACAUGCAAGUCGAACGCGCUCCAUUCGGUAGCAAUACCGAUGAAGAGCGAGUGGCGAACGGGUGAGUAACACAUGAGCAACCUGCCCCGAAGACUGGGACAACACCGGGAAACCGGUGCUAAUACCGGAUAUCCCUAUCGGACCGCAUGAUCUGAUAAGGAAAUGGAUUCCGCUUCGGGAGGGGCUCGUGGCCUAUCAGCUAGUUGGUGAGGUAACGGCUCACCAAGGCAUCGACGGGUAGCUGGUCUGAGAGGACGAUCAGCCACACUGGGACUGAGACACGGCCCAGACUCCUACGGGAGGCAGCAGUGGGGAAUCUUGCGCAAUGGGCGAAAGCCUGACGCAGCAACGCCGCGUGGAGGACGAAUGCUUUCUGAGUUGUAAA
rnacentral:rRNA from 1 species